CUCCCCUCUGCGUUGCUGUGUCCCUCUACCCUUCUGUACCUCUCCUCUCGUGAGCACGUGGAAUAAAAGCAGCCUGAGACCCUUCCCGUUCUCGACGGAAGCAUUAUUGGCUAUUCAGCUAUCCGGCACCUGGUAGACCGCUCCACUUAGGAAGAACCCUCCGUGGUGGUUCCCGAGGGACAUCGGUCCUGGGGAAGACAUCGCCUCAGCUCUGCUCUGUUCCAGAUUGCAUCUCACAGCCUUUAUUUGGGAAGAGCAAGCUUUCCUCUUUAUCUUGCCAGCCACAAGAGAGGAAAAUACAUCCUGGGCGACAUCAAAGGCAGUGUAGCCACCGGGGAGGGAAAAGGGAUUCUGCCCCUCUACAGAUCUAGUAUUGAGAAUUUAUAAAAUAUGUAAGGGAAGAUCUUACACAAGCUUAAGAAGGUCUUCAAAUACACAAGAAUUAUAAAUACAAAUUCCAAUUCUGGGACAUUUAUCUGCGUGGGCCUUCUGAGGAGCAAGAAAAAAACCCAUGUUUGCUCUGAAUUGGAGAAGAUUAAAUUACUGGACACAAACUCAGGAUUGCAUUGCACUGUCAACUGUCUGUCAAUCUUCAUAUUUGCAAGAAAGAAAAUACACCAGCCACCCCACUGUGCUGAAUGUGACAGCAUUGUAAUGUCAGAGGACCAAGAGACAGACUCUAUCACUGAAGUUGGAUCUAUUUGAAUAUUGACAAACAGAAGGAAUUGAGACUGAGCA
rnacentral:lncRNA from 1 species